GGCGCUAUAGUGUAGUGGUUAUCACUCAGGAUUUUGACCCCUCCCCAUCUCGUAGAGCCGUAACAAUUUCCUGUAACCCCAGUUCGAACCUGGGUAGCACCU